UGUUGGCGCUGUUGUUGCAUAAUAACUUGGCGUUACUCUACCAAGUUCUCACAGCGAUACACCCGGGUUAGUCUCGCUUUAAACCUGUCAUCAGCCCAUCGUCAUUAAUUACCUCACUAGCAGGCCAAGGUUGAAGACUGUAGAGAAUACUGCGUUGGUUGGUGAACAACAUAGAGAGGGCUGGAAGAGGAGCCCUAACACAUCAGUCGUGCUUUGCACUGGGCAAGAAAUGCUGAUAGAGAGAUGUUUGAUCAAGCCUCCAUUAUGACUUGAACACAGCAGCCGUCACCUUCAAUAGUUCGACUUUUUUUCCCAAGCUGGAUUUGUUGGCUGUGAUACCCACACUUGGCUAGAUAGUUAACACUUAACAGUUUUACUCUAAAAUUGUUCUGUAUCUAAAUACUGGAGAUAUUGAGCUCUCUGCAUCUCUGCAAAGAAUUCCAGCAAACAACAUUUGAAAUGCAAACAUAUUUCAACAGUAAUGGAAAGUUGAGGACAUGUCUUGACAUCACAACCACGUCAACCAACAAAGUGAUGAUGACUCUGAUGCUCACAAAGUAGUGGAAGAGGUGGAUUAUUUAGAAGAUGACACUGACAACCGUGACAGCAAUUAUGAUUAAAUGAGGUGAUUUUCCAAUACCCAGUGAUCUCAUUCAAUAAACAA